AGUCUGUGGUUGAGGAAGGGUUUUGCUUUUUGUGCUCUGUAUUGGGAAGGCAGAUAAAAUGCCAGGUCUGGACUGCCUCUGGGCAUAACCUCACCCUGUGGGAUGUGAAUGAAUAGCAUCUUGCCUGGUAAAUCCACAGGAAUUGAUAAGGCAGGCGCAGUUCUCCCAAACAGGCCUUUUCUCUUUAAGCUGUAGCUGUGGUUUCUGCAGCAAUUUUGUUUUUGCCUUGAAAGAGGUGCUCUGGAUUAUCAGACCUCCAUGUAUGACAAUUUGUACCUGCAUGGAAUUGAAGACUCGGAGGCUGUCUUUGACUGAGAUUCCCUAAGGAAGUGGCAAAGAAGCAGAAUGUGCUAUGAUCUCUGAAUGUUCCUGGGAGCCUAAACAUGAUCUUUCCUUGCAAGAAAGUCACAGUUCUCUGUGUAAUAAGCAGAGUUGGCUGCUCCCCAGAAUUCUCCAGUCAAGGAUUACUAUCUGCGAGCUGUUUGAACUUCUGCUCCUUGGGAAAUUAAGGGUUCAGCGGAUUCCUACACAAGCAGGCCGUCUGACUCCGAUGUCUCUUUGGAAGAGGACCGGGAAGCAAUUCGACAGGAGAGAGAACAGCAAGCAGCUAUCCAGCUUGAGAGAGCAAAGAAAUAUAACAAUGAUUGGUGGAUAGGAAGGCUGGUGAAAGAGGGCUGUGAAAUUGGCUUCAUUCCAAGUCCACUCAGAUUGGAGAACAUACGGAUUCAGCAAGAACAAAAAAGAGGACGUUUUCACGGAGGGAAAUCAAGUGGAAAUUCUUCUUCAAGUCUUGGAGAAAUGGUAUCUGGGACAUUUCGAGCAACUCCCACGUCAACAGCAAAACAGAAGCAAAAAGUGACGGAGCACAUUCCUCCUUACGAUGUUGUGCCGUCAAUGCGUCCGGUGGUGUUAGUGGGGCCGUCACUGAAAGGUUACGAGCGGAAGUACAAAGUGAAAUUGAAAGAAUCUUUGAGUUGGCAAGAUCUUUGCAACUGGUCGUUCUUGAUGCAGACACCAUCAAUCACCCAGCACAACUUAUAAAGACUUCCUUAGCACCAAUUAUUGUUCAUGUAAAAGUCUCAUCUCCAAAGGUUUUACAGCGGUUGAUUAAAUCUAGAGGAAAGUCACAAAGUAAACACUUGAAUGUUCAACUGGUGGCAGCUGAUAAACUUGCACAAUGCCCCCCAGAAAUGUUUGAUGUUAUAUUGGAUGAAAAUCAGCUUGAGGAUGCGUGUGAACAUCUAGGGGAGUACCUGGAGGCGUACUGGCGUGCCACCCACACAACCAGUAGCACACCCAUGACCCCGCUGCUGGGAAGGAAUUUGGGCUCCACGGCACUCUCACCAUAUCCCACAGCAAUUUCUGGGUUACAGAGUCAGCGAAUGAGGCACAGCAACCACUCCACAGAGAACUCUCCAAUUGAAAGACGAAGUCUAAUGACCUCUGAUGAAAAUUAUCACAAUGAAAGGGCUCGGAAGAGUAGGAACCGCUUGUCUUCCAGUUCUCAGCAUAGCCGAGAUCAUUACCCUCUUGUGGAAGAAGAUUACCCUGACUCAUACCAGGACACUUACAAACCCCAUAGGAACCGAGGAUCACCUGGGGGAUAUAGCCAUGACUCCCGACAUAGGCUUUGAGUCUAAUGAAACAAAAAAUAUUCAUCUGUUGACAAUUUGCCAUAGCAGUGCUAGGAUAAACCAAUCAUCUUAACUUGGCUAACAUAGCACAGUAUUUACUGUGCUAAUGGGCUGCUGUCAUUUUAUGCUAAGUAAGGGGCAAAAAAAAAAUUACAUUAUGCCCUUGAGUCUAGAUGGAUAUUAGAUGCCCGAUCAUAUAGAUAUUUUUAAGUGCAACAUUUACAUGAUAACAGUACAUUUUGUUUUCUUCAUAGAUUUAGACACAUCAAUUUGUAAUUUAGGGUACUUACAAGGCACAUAUAAAAUAAUUUCCCAUGCCGGAAAUUCCAAAUGACCAGUUCCAGUUGGAACCAAUUUAUAAACCAAUUCCUGUUGGAAUUUGGGUGAAUUGACUAGAAAGUCUACUUGAGCAUGUUGUAAUCAACUGAAAAAUCUGGGGGAAAAAAAAAAAAACUAAUAAGAAAAUCGAAAUACCAAUAGAAGCCAAAUCCAGCUUUGGUAUUUAUUUGCUGGAAGCUAAAUUUACACUUAAAGUUGGAGUGUAUAAACAUUUUAAUAUAUGUUAAUGUUGCCAGAAUGACUUUUCAAACUUACCAAAUGUAUUGAUAGUGCCAAAAAAAAUCUCAGAAAUCUUAAUGCAGAAAUUAUAUAGUCUCCUCAGAUUUUAAUAUUUUUCUUUCUUUCCUGGCACAGCUGUUGUAUUCAAAGUGUUUUGCUUUUUGUUUGGUCAGUACUGUUAGCUCAUUUGAAGUUGGCAAAAACAAAUACAAACAAGCAAAAAACCUCAAAUUUUUUUCAGCAGUGAGAGAGAAUAGUAAAGAGAGGCCCAAGCAUAGCUGUUAUGUGAAAUAUAAAAUGGGGUGUUGUUCUCCCUUUAAUCAAUCUGAGCACAACUACAUACAUCCAGGAAUCUGAAGUCAGAUAGUAAGGAUGUGGUACCAAUCCUCCCGAGUGCAAUGCUAAACACUUCCAGGUGGGAAUUCAUCUAUUUCACUUAACACAAACGCAGGGUCUGUAUUUCCUGCCAACAAGAUUGAGUAUCUUUCCAUUGCUUCUCUCAGUCUCUGUCUUUGAAUAUCUGAAUGUUCUGGCCCUUCAACAAAUUCUUUAAAUCAUGCUAAGGAAUUUCGUUUUAUGUGGACACACUCAACUUUGAUAUUCAGGAGGUGUUUUUACAAAAUGACUGAUUGAAAAAAGUUGAAACAAAUGAUUUUAAAAGCUUGCAGUAAAAAAUAAACUCAUAGAUUCAGCAAAUAUUUGUUGACUAAAAUUAUAGCAUUUUUAAUGCAGAAAAUUAUAAAGAAUUUGGAGAUUGAGCUGCCUUAUUUCUAAUGAACACUCCUCUUCAUCUUAUUAAGUCUUCACAGUUUUUCCAGUGGCUAUAAUUAUGGAAUUGGUGACCUAUAUUUUAUAUUAUCAAGGAAGCCUUAGAUUCACUCUGAUCCAAGAAAUUAUUGAAAUUGACCCUUUUUACACAAAUGUCUUUAAAAAAAAAACUUAUUUCUAAACGUCCAUAGUGCAUGCAUUUUCUAAAACCCCAAUAAGUCCAGCCAUAAAAGUUCUUUUCUGCUAGUACAUGUCAUGAAGCCUAUUUUUGAAAAUAAUGAUAAUUAAUUUUAUAGUAUCUUCUUUUCUCCCCAAGCCUUUCAGUAUUCAGGCACUCAAAGCAUGCACCAGUUCAGUAAUCUUCUUGACCAUGGAAAUAAGUUCCACAUUACUGAUGAGUUAUAUAUAUAUCUUGAACCCCAUUACAACC
rnacentral:sRNA from 1 species